CCUACGGGAGGCUGCAGUGGGGAAUAUUGGGCAAUGGAGGAAACUCUGACCCAGCAACGCCGCGUGAAUGAUGAAGGUCUUCGGAUUGUAAAGUUCUUUUCUAAGGGAAGAAGAAUGUGACGGUACUUUAGCACUAAGCCUCGGCUAACUACGUGCUAGCAGCCGCGGCAAUACGUAGGAGGCGAGCGUUAUCAGGAAUGACUGGGCGUAAGGGGUGCGUAGGUGGUUUGGCAAGUUAGUAGCGUAACUCCAAGGCUCAACCUUGGAACUACUACUAAAACUGUUGGACUUGAGUGCAGGAGGGGCAACCGGAAUUCCUAGUGUAGCGGUGGAAUGCGUAGAUAUUAGGAGGAACACCAGUGGCGAAGGCGGGUUGCUAGACUGUAACUGACACUGAGGCACGAAGGCGAGGGGAGCAAACAGGAUUAGAUACCCCAGUAGUC
rnacentral:rRNA from 1 species